CAGAGCACAAGUCACAUGACUGGGGGCAGCUGGGAAAUUGACAAAAUUUGUUUGCUCUUUUGAGAAAUGGAUUUCAGUGCAGAAGUCUGCUGGAGCAGCACUAUUAACUGAUGCAUACAUGUUUUCCCAUGACAGUAUCCCUUUAAAAUCAUCAGCAUCCUGACGCGUUUCGUACCACAGAUACGCAAUCAUAGGCAUUAGCUUAAAUAGCUUAAAAGAUUUAGGUCAGCUACUGAUAAUAUCUCUGCAUGUAUUGCUUAUCUGACGAUAUCAGUGGGUGACUGUCACUACUAUUUGUCGGACAUAACUUUUGUACGAUUGCGGUCAGUCAAUUAAUGGCCAGAACAUCGUCUGAUUUGUUAUUCACAGCUGCCUGUACUAGUGAUCUAUUCAUUCCACUGCAUGUUAAAUCAUUUAGCACAAACCGUUAGCUGCAAAAAAAAAAAGGCAUUUUUAGAUGACUAAAGUAUAAUAAAAUUGUAUUGGGUGAAAGUGAUAAUGUUGGUAUUAAACACAUUGAAAUAAGUGUGAAAUUGCUGGUGAGUUUUACGGCAUGCUGUGAUACGUCAGAAAGAAGUGAGGACGCCGCCGCUCUGAAUUUGUGGAAUCGUGUCACCGAUAUGCGCAUUGGACUCUUAAGGGACGCCGAGGAACCGAAAGCGCAAUACGGAAUGCACAGGACACUUUUUUUCAAUGCGGUUGGACAACGGAUGUUUCUGCUACUACCAGGGCCCAAUAUCACAGAGAUCUGGAAGAAUGGAAGGACUGAAUGGCACUUAUGGGAGGUGGAUGCCAAUGAUCUGAAUCCCCAUGGAGUAAUUACACGCUACUGCCACCAAGUUUUAUGGGAUAGAAGGAAAAAGAAGAGAAAGUUGAGCAGGAGCAAUGCAGAGAAAAAAAAAGCCAAUGAGAAACCAACUCAUAUGCUAUGAAUAAAGUUUGGAGAGGGGAACAGGACAACCAGAAAAUGAAGAUAAAAUGUGUUUCCAGAACCAACCACUAUCCUCCUGAGGAAACUCAAAGGGGGGGAUAAAGAUCUACUGGAGAAGUACAGUAACUGCCAGAAGGUGGAAGAAGUGCUAAAAGUGGAGCGAGAAUAUCUAGCAGCAGCCAAUGAUAAAGAUAAUGAAGAUAUUGAGUUAAUGAAUGGGGAUCCACAUUACAGAAAUAUUCCUUAUCUGGACAACCCCAGGUAUCUGGAUAACAGGAGGUACUUGUGCAACAUCCAUUUUUUUGGAACCCGUACCCGCCAUCCGUAACCCGGACCCACAUUCUUACCCGCAAGUACCUUAUUCCGCAACCCGCUGACCAUCAAGAAUCAGGAAGUGCUGUCAUUGUAAACCGGAAGUGACAUCAUCGGAAGUAGGCGUGAAGUAGGCAAGUUUUUGCGGGUACCCGACCCGCUUCAGGACUCUACAACAUUGCUCUAAGCAAGUGACCCCCCCAAGCUGUUGUCUCUGUACUAAGGAGAGGUGUCGACGGUGUAUAUAAUAAGGAAACUAUUCAUUUAACAGUAUAUCAAUUUUAUUUCAACAAGAAUUCAAUUCUUCAUAGACCUUUGUAUUUUAUAGCAGAAAUGUCAUAUUACAGAUGCCUCUCUCGAAGGAAAACCGCGUGAGAUCUCAGCCUUACCUCACCGCUCGCAAGAGAACCGUAACAAGUAGCAAUAAAACUGGAUAAACCGCUUCCAUUUCACAUUUGUUUUUUUCAUCACAAUAAUUUCCAACAGAAAAGUGUGAGCCUUAGGCGCUGCUGUAUAGGAAUGGCCGCUCAGUGGUACAUAAAUCAUGCUGGGCAGUCACAUUAAAUACGACUCUUACAUUAAACUGAAAAUAUACUCUGUUUUCUGCAGAUAGUAAACUCUAUUUUACUCUAUUAAUACUUUAGAUUGAGACACAAAGAAAGGGCUCUGGAUUCAGCGAUGCGAUUAACCCUUUCAUUACCCACGGAGGCCUGCUGCUCUCAGCCAAUGAGAGGGCUCACAAGCUGUGGAUGAGACUUUGCUGGUAUAGGAAUAGUUGUGAAGGGUAUUUGCUGGUUGCUGUGAGAUUGAACCCAACGUGUGCUCUUGCUAAUGCUCAGUAUGUUACAGGCACCGUCGCUCUGUAGCACGAGGCUCUACAUGGCAACACCAUCGCACACAUACAAAUAUGUAAAGCCUAAAUGAUCAUUUUCCUAUUGUAAUAAUAAAACCCCUAUUGUUUCUAAGAGACAUUCCCACUUGAGGACCUGAACGUGUCUGAAUUGCAGCAAAUGUAGCAAGGAAUGGGAUCUACUAUAUGGAAACACAUUACUGGAAUACAAAAACAUUUCCUAUUCAAUUCGUCCUAUUAAACUUUAUUUUCUUUGGAAGAAUAAGUAUUUAUUUUAAAGGAGAACUAAAGAUUAAUGUGGCUAA